rnacentral:rRNA from 1 species
AGAGUUUGAUCCUGGCUCAGGACGAACGCUGGCGGCGUGCUUAACACAUGCAAGUCGAACGAGAAUCUACUGAAAGAGUUUUCGGACAAUGGAAGUAGAGGAAAGUGGCGGACGGGUGAGUAACGCGUGAGGAACCUGCCUUGAAGAGGGGGACAACAGUUGGAAACGACUGCUAAUACCGCAUGAAGCAUAGGGGUCGCAUGAUUCUUAUGCCAAAGAUUUAUCGCUUCAAGAUGGCCUCGCGUCUGAUUAGCUAGUUGGCGGGGUAAUGGCCCACCAAGGCGACGAUCAGUAGCCGGACUGAGAGGUUGAACGGCCACAUUGGGACUGAGAUACGGCCCAGACUCCUACGGGAGGCAACAGUGGGGAAUAUUGGGCAAUGGGCGCAAGCCUGACCCAGCAACGCCGCGUGAAGGAAGAAGGCUUUCGGGUUGUAAACUUCUUUUAAGAGGGAAGAGCAGAAGACGGUACCUCUAGAAUAAGCCACGGCUAACUACGUGCCAGCAGCCGCGGUAAAACGUAGGUCACAAGCGUUGUCCGGAAUUACUGGGUGUAAAGGGAGCGCAGGCGGGAAGACAAGUUGGAAGUGAAAUCCAUGGGCUUAACCCAUGAACUGCUUUCAAAACUGUUUUUCUUGAGUAGUGCAGAGGUAGGCGGAAUUCCCGGUGUAGCGGUGGAAUGCGUAGAUAUCGGGAGGAACACCAGUGGCGAAGGCGGCCUACUGGGCACCAACUGACGCUGAGGCUCGAAAGUGUGGGUAGCAAACAGGAUUAGAUACCCUGGUAGUCCACACCGUAAACGAUGAUUACUAGGUGUUGGAGGAUUGACCCCUUCAGUGCCGCAGUUAACACAAUAAGUAAUCCACCUGGGGAGUACGACCGCAAGGUUGAAACUCAAAGGAAUUGACGGGGGCCCGCACAAGCAGUGGAGUAUGUGGUUUAAUUCGACGCAACGCGAAGAACCUUACCAAGUCUUGACAUCCGUUGACCGACAUAGAAAUAUGUUUUUCCUUCGGGACAGCGAGACAGGUGGUGCAUGGUUGUCGUCAGCUCGUGUCGUGAGAUGUUGGGUUAAGUCCCGCAACGAGCGCAACCCUUAUGGUCAGUUACUACGCAAGAGGACUCUGGCCAGACUGCCGUUGACAAAACGGAGGAAGGUGGGGAUGACGUCAAAUCAUCAUGCCCUUUAUGACUUGGGCUACACACGUACUACAAUGGCGUUAAACAAAGAGAAGCAAGACCGCGAGGUGGAGCAAAACUCAGAAACAACGUCCCAGUUCGGACUGCAGGCUGCAACUCGCCUGCACGAAGUCGGAAUUGCUAGUAAUCGUGGAUCAGCAUGCCACGGUGAAUACGUUCCCGGGCCUUGUACACACCGCCCGUCACACCAUGAGAGCCGGGGGGACCCGAAGUCGGUAGUCUAACCGCAAGGAGGACGCCGCCGAAGGUAAAACUGGUGAUUGGGGUGAAGUCGUAACAAGGU